rnacentral:rRNA from 1 species
GACGAACGCUGGCGGCGUGCUUAACACAUGCAAGUCGAACGCUGAAGCUUGGUGCUUGCACUGGGUGGAUGAGUGGCGAACGGGUGAGUAAUACGUGAGUAACCUGCCCUUGACUCUGGGAUAAGCCUGGGAAACUGGGUCUAAUACUGGAUAUGACAUGCCACUUCAUGGUGGUGUGUGGAAAGGGUUUUACUGGUUUUGGAUGGGCUCACGGCCUAUCAGCUUGUUGGUGGGGUAAUGGCCUACCAAGGCGACGACGGGUAGCCGGCCUGAGAGGGUGACCGGCCACACUGGGACUGAGACACGGCCCAGACUCCUACGGGAGGCAGCAGUGGGGAAUAUUGCACAAUGGGCGGAAGCCUGAUGCAGCGACGCCGCGUGAGGGAUGACGGCCUUCGGGUUGUAAACCUCUUUCAGCACGGAAGAAGCGAGAGUGACGGUACGUGCAGAAGAAGCGCCGGCUAACUACGUG